rnacentral:rRNA from 1 species
CCCCGCUGGACCGGUGAUGCCCCGACGAGGAUAAGGGCGCCACGGUCCCCGCUCGGCCUCGUCAGCCCCACCCCCUGCUGCGCAGAUAUUUCCCCUCACCCUCUCUUCCUCAUCGCACUCUCGCUCGCGUCCAGAUCCACCUUGCCGUGCGCCCGCAUCACCAUGGCCGACCUCACCCGCACACCCACUUAGCUCCCCGCUGUACCUGCUUUCUCCAGAAGAACAACCGCCGACUACCUCGUCUACUGGAGCCACCUGUUGGAGUUGAAGCUCUCUGCAUCAACCACGACGAUGUCUUCUUCAUCCUCGUCACCGACCGCUGCCCUGCUGUUGAUUCCCCUAUCUCCGAACCUCCCCAGAGCCACCCGGGCCUCGUCGAGCUCGCCACCGGCCCUCCCCAUGACUACGAGACCGACGUUGCUGCUGCCCAGUUCGACUACGGAGUUGACGACCCCUCCUUCUUGCCAGAGCAACCAGACUACGAGACCGACGCUGCUGCUGUCCAGUUCGACUACGGAGUUGACGACCCCUCCUUCUUGCCAAAGCAACCAGGCAAGCCCCCCCUUUGAUCACCAGAUAUCGCCUAUUCUUCUCUCUACUGCUUGCAUUAGAGUAGUGUAGCAUGUUACUGUUCGGUUACUCCUAUUCUGUUGCAUAGCCUGUCAUUGUUGCUACAGUCGUUGAUACCUUACCCGCAAUCCUAAAUGCUUAGUAUAGGAUGCUAGUUUAUCAUCAUUGGCCCUACAUUUUUGUCAGUCUGCCUUGCUAUACUAUUGGGUCAUGAUGACUUGGGAGGUGAUCACGGGUAUAUCCUAUACAUAUAUACGUACUAUACUGAUGGUGACUAAAGUCGGGUCGGCUCGUUGAGUACCCGCAAGUGAUUCGGAUAUGGGGGCCGAAAGGACAGGUGGCUCCAUCCCAGUAGAGGUGGGCCUGGGUUCCCGACGGCCCCUGACUGUUACUUUGAGGCGGAGCGACAGGGUAGGUUGAGACCACCUAGGCGAGAGGUGGGCCUGGCCCUGGUCGGCGUUCGCGUUUACUUCAUAAUAACACGC